CAGUCGCCGCGGUAAUACGGAGGGUGCAAGCGUUAAUCGGAAUUACUGGGCGUAAAGCGCACGCAGGCGGUUUGUUAAGUCAGAUGUGAAUCCCCGAGCUUAACUUGGGAACUGCAUUUGAAACUGGCAAGCUAGAGUCUUGUAGAGGGGGGUAGAAUUCCAGGUGUAGCGGUGAAAUGCGUAGAGAUCUGGAGGAAUACCGGUGGCGAAGGCGGCCCCCUGGACAAAGACUGACGCUCAGGUACGAAAGCGUGGGGAGCAAACAGGAUUAGAUACCCCUGUAGUCCCUGUCUCUUAUACA
rnacentral:rRNA from 1 species